rnacentral:rRNA from 1 species
CGGAAUGAGUGGGCGUAAAGAGAGAGGAGGUGGCCCGUUAAGUUGGGUGAGAAAACCGCGGGCUCCACCGGGGAACGCU